rnacentral:rRNA from 1 species
AGCNCGGGAGCAAUCCUGGUGGCGAGUGGCGAAUGGGCGAGUAAUAUAUGGGGACGAGCCCAGUCGUGGGGGAUAACGCAGCGAAAGCUGUGCUAAUACCGCAUACGAUCUAUGGAUGAAAGCGGGGGAUCGCAAGACCUCGCGCGAUUGGAGUGGCCGAUAUCAGAUUAGGUAGUUGGUGGGGUAAAGGCCUACCAAGCCGACGAUCUGUAGCUGGUCUGAGAGGACGACCAGCCACACUGGAACUGUAUUUUCGGUCCAGACUCCUACGGGAGGCAGCAGUGGG